rnacentral:rRNA from 1 species
CGUUGUUCGGAAUUACUGGGCGUAAAGCGCGUGUAGGCGGCAACGCAAGUCGGGCGUGAAAUCCCACGGCUCAACCGUGGAAGUGCACUCGAAACUGCGUAGCUAGAGUCCUGGAGAGGAAGGUGGAAUGCUUGGUGUAGAGGUGAAAUUCGUAGAUAUCAAGCGGAACACCGGUGGCGAAGGCGGCCUUCUGGACAGUGACUGACGCUGAGACGCGAAAGCGUGGGGAGCAAACAGG